UACGUGUACCCGCAAGGGGAAAGUGGCGAAAGGGAGAGGAACACGUGGGUUACCAACCUUCUGGUCGGGGAUAGCGGCGGGAAACUGCCAUUAAUACCCGAUAACGUCUGCGGACCAAAGGUGUGAUUCCGCCGGAAGACGGGCCCGCGUCCUAUUAGCUAGUUGGUGGGGUAAUGGCCUACCAAGGCAAUGAUGGGUACGGGGCGUGAGAGCGUGCCCCCGCUCACUGGGACUGAGACACUGCCCAGACACCUACGGGUGGCUGCAGUCGAGGAUCUUCGGCAAUGGGCGCAAGCCUGACCGAGCGACGCCGCGUGUGGGAUGAAGGCCUUCGGGUUGUAAACCACUGUCGUAGGGGAGGAAGGCUGCGCGAAGAGCGCGGUUUGACCGAUCCUAGGAGGAAGUCCAGGCUAACCUCGUGCCAGCAGCCGCGGUAAGACGAGGUGGACAAACGUUA
rnacentral:rRNA from 1 species